UCAAACUUGGUCAUUUAGAGGAAGUAAAAGUCGUAACAAGGUCUCCGUUGGUGAACCAGCGGAGGGAUCAUUAUAGAGUUCUAAACUCCAAACCUUUGUGAACACAUCAUGUUGCUUCGGCGGGUUUGCGGGUGGCCCAGCGCCCCCGACCGCCCGCCGAGGGCCUUAAACUCUUGUUUUCUAGCGGAAUCUUCUGAGUUACAAACAAUAAAUUAAAACUUUCAGCAACGGAUCUCUUGGCUCUAGCAUCGAUGAAGAACGCAGC
rnacentral:misc_RNA from 1 species